GCUUUCGUACGCUACAGCCCUAUAAAAGGUGUCUCCGCGGGGUCACAGCAUUACAGAUUCAACAUGAAGGCUAUCUUUUUCCUCGCUCUGGCGUCCCUCUUUGUCCUUGGUGCCGUUGAAGCCCAGACUGGGUGUGGCCCCAUCACAGUGUGUGUCGAGGACAGGAUCUGCUCUCUCGAGUGUCCCGGAUGUAAUGGCACACCACAUUGCGCACACACCGGCUUCCUCGGCCACUGCGAGUGUAACACCAGCUAGGGCCUCUAGCCUGGGUACGUUUUCUCUGAUGGUGCCGGCAGACAAAGUGAAUAUUUGAUGUACGAAUGUACACAGAAUAAAUCCAUGUCUCUGAUGCAAA